UGGGGAAUAUUGGACAAUGGGCGCAAGCCUGAUCCAGCCAUGCCGCGUGAGUGAUGAAGGCCCUAGGGUUGUAAAGCUCUUUCACCGGUGAAGAAAAUGACAGUACCAUACGAAUAAGGACCGGCUAAUUACGUGCCAGCAGCCGCGGUAAUACGUAAGGUCCGAGCGUUGUCCGGAAUCAUUGGGCGUAAAGGGUACGUAGGCGGAUAAGCAAGUUAGAAGUGAAAUCCUAUAGCUCAACUAUAGUAAGCUUUUAAAACUGCUCAUCUUGAGGUAUGGAAGGGAAAGUGGAAUUCCUAGUGUAGCGGUGAAAUGCGCAGAUAUUAGGAGGAAUACCGGUGGCGAAGGCGACUUUCUGGCCAUAAACUGACGCUGAGGUACGAAAGCGUGGGUAGCAAACAGG
rnacentral:rRNA from 1 species